rnacentral:rRNA from 1 species
GAUGAAUGCUGGCGGCGUGCUUAACACAUGCAAGUCGAACGAUGAAGGGGGAGCUUGCUCCUCUGGAUUAGUGGCGAACGGGUGAGUAACACGUGAGCAAUCUGCCCCUGACUCUGGGAUAAGCGCUGGAAACGGCGUCUAAUACCGGAUACGAGCCGAGCAGGCAUCUGCAUCGGUUGGAAAGAACUUCGGUCAGGGAUGAGCUCGCGGCCUAUCAGCUUGUUGGUGAGGUAAUGGCUCACCAAGGCGACGACGGGUAGCCGGCCUGAGAGGGUGACCGGCCACACUGGGACUGAGACACGGCCCAGACUCCUACGGGAGGCAGCAGUGGGGAAUAUUGCACAAUGGGCGGAAGCCUGAUGCAGCAACGCCGCGUGAGGGACGAAGGCCUUCGGGUUGUAAACCUCUUUUAGCAGGGAAGAAGCGAGAGUGACGGUACCUGCAGAAAAAGCACCGGCUAACUACGUGCCAGCCGCCGCCGUAA